GUGUGCCUGGCUCCCUGUAUGCCAUUUGGAAAAGUUCAUCACAACAGUGAUGCCUUUAGAAAUGGCAUGCACGGAGCCAAGCAUGC
rnacentral:pre_miRNA from 2 species